AACGUAGGUGGCGAGCGUUAUCCGGAUUUACUGGGCGUAAAGGGUGUGCAGGCGGGCUGUUAAGUGGUGCAUGAAAUCUCCGCGCUUAACGUGGAGAGGCUGUGCCAGACUGGCAGUCUAGAGUACGAGAGAGGGUUGUGGAAUUCCGGGUGUAGUGGUGAAAUGCGUAGAGAUCCGGAGGAACACCAGAGGCGAAGGCGGCAACCUGGCGUCGUAACUGACGCUCAUACACGACAGCAUGGGGAGCGAACGGG
rnacentral:rRNA from 1 species